rnacentral:rRNA from 1 species
CGAAAGCCUGGACGGAGCAAGACCGCGUGAGGGAGGAAGGCUCUAGGGUUGUAAACCUCUUUUAUCAGGGAAUAAGCAAUGAAGGUACCUGAGGAAUCAGCAUCGGCUAACUCCGUGCCAGCAGCCGCGGUAAUACGGAGGAUGCAAAGCGUUAUCCGGAAUCAUUGGGCGUAAAGCGUCCGCAGGUGGUAGUUCAAGUCGAUUGUCAAAGGCAGUAGCUUAACUACUGACAGGCAGUGGAAACUGAGUCACUAGAGUGCGGUAGGGGUAGAGGGAAUUCCCGGUGUAGCGGUGAAAUGCGUAGAGAUCGGGAAGAACACCAGUGGCGAAAGCGCUCUGCUGGACCAGCACUGACACUGAGGGACGAAAGCUUAGGGGAGCA